UGAAACCGUUUUUGUUUAAUAAUCCCAUUACUGACGGCUCAUCGUGUAUAAAAUCGUGCAGGACACUAAGUUUCCACUUGUUUAAGUGAAUCUCUGAGAAAUGGUCGCGACAAAACACACCACAUUUGACAAGAUCUGAGAUGGGAAAGCAGGACAUCGUCACAUAUUUUAGUGUGGAAUCAAUUAGUGGGGACUGUGUUUCAUGAAGCCGUUAGAAGACUGUUGCUGACUGAGAGGAGUCUGGCAGUAACCCAGAACUAUCAGAGGCAGAUCAUCUGUCUUUUGGCUGCUGCUGACAACUGCAUUCAGGCAAUAACCCAUACUGUACUGGCAGUAGGUAACCUGGGCCAGGUGCUGGGAAAAAAACAGGCGGAAUUGAUCUGACAACUGGAGGGCUGCUGGGUUCACAUCAUCAGAACAUUCCCCUACCGUUGGGCCCUUGAGCAAAGCCCUUAACCCCACAGCAUUCUCUCCAUCAAGGGGUGUUGCACUGUAGCAUGAUAGGUCACAAAGGACCUAUCAUGGUCCAUACACACCAACACAGUCGUAAAGAGGGCAUGACAACACCUCUUCCCCCUCAUGAGGCUGAAAAGAUUUGGCAUGGGCCCUCAGAUCCUCAAAAAGUU